rnacentral:rRNA from 1 species
CGGCACGGGUGAGUAACACGUAUCCAACCUGCCGUCUACUCUUGGACAGCCUUCUGAAAGGAAGAUUAAUACAAGAUGGCAUCAUGAGUUCACAUGUUCACAUGAUUAAAGGUAUUCCGGUAGACGAUGGGGAUGCGUUCCAUUAGAUAGUAGGCGGGGUAACGGCCCACCUAGUCUUCGAUGGAUAGGGGUUCUGAGAGAAAGGUCCCCCACAUUGGAACUGAGACACGGUCCAA